rnacentral:rRNA from 1 species
CUACGGGAGGCAGCAGUAGGGAAUCUUCCGCAAUGGGCGAAAGCCUGACGGAGCAACGCCGCGUGAGUGAUGAAGGUCUUCGGAUCGUAAAACUCUGUUAUUAGGGAAGAACAAAUGUGUAAGUAACUAUGCACGUCUUGACGGUACCUAAUCAGAAAGCCACGGCUAACUACGUGCCAGCAGCCGCGGUAAUACGUAGGUGGCAAGCGUUAUCCGGAAUUAUUGGGCGUAAAGCGCGCGUAGGCGGUUUUUUAAGUCUGAUGUGAAAGCCCACGGCUCAACCGUGGAGGGUCAUUGGAAACUGGAAAACUUGAGUGCAGAAGAGGAAAGUGGAAUUCCAUGUGUAGCGGUGAAAUGCGCAGAGAUAUGGAGGAACACCAGUGGCGAAGGCGACUUUCUGGUCUGUAACUGACGCUGAUGUGCGAAAGCGUGGGGAUCAAACAGGAUUAGAUACCCUGGUAGUCCACGCCGUAAACGAUGAGUGCUAAGUGUUAGGGGGUUUCCGCCCCUUAGUGCUGCAGCUAACGCAUUA